UUGGGUUGUGUUGUGGGCCCCGGAAAUAAUUGCUCAAUCCUGCAUAACACAACCCAAGGGUGCCAUUUCCGCUUUCAGACGGUUUCUGUCGUUUUUUCAACGUUACAUUGUUAGGUAUAUAUCGCUGAUUGGAAAUAUAUCGCUGGCUCGUUACUUUUGGGGGUGCUCGAUGGCUCAUUGAAAUCUUAUCCGCCAUUUUGAAAAGGACGAGGCACGUACGGAGGACAGUCAAGAUGAAGAUUAUAGCCUUUUGGGGAACGAAACACGGCCCAGCCUUUACGAUGCACUAGUUUAUGAGCGAAAAUUUAAGAGUGAAUAUUUGGAGAGACAAAUUUACGAGCGAUUACUUAUGAGUGAACCUGCCAUCUUGAAACUUAUCGAGAAUCAAAGCAAACACUUAUUUAAAGCUAACUGUAUAUCAUCUUAAAAAACGUGCUACAAGGCGAUCUGGACAUGCUCGUGAACCGAGUAGAAUUCCACUGCUAUUUCUAAGAGGUCUCAACAAGAAGAAUAGCAUGUUGAAGAAAUUUGUCUUGAAAAAGAUUUCAACGAUUGAGAUACUGAAGUCUUCAAAGCUCAAUCGCUAUGUUAAUAAGCAUUGUCAAAUGAAGAGUGAAAGAACAUUAUAAGAAAAUUGAAGUCUAACCAAAGAAAAAGAGAGAUCUACAAUAAAUACAAUGUCCACUACUUGCAAUUGGAGCCAGCAAAGAAAAAGCAAUGGUACAGUUUGAUGGAUAGAGUAAAAAUAGAAGAGCUUCUUGAAACUUGUGCUAAAAAAUAUAAAGAAAUUGAUGUGUCAAAAAAGAAACAAAUGCUUGAAAAUUGAAGAAAAAAGUAUAAAGAGAUAGAUGCCUCAAAAAAGAAACAAAUGCUUAACAGAAAAGCUUUAAAGUCUAGAAAGAAUUUUGACAGCAUGGACUGUGAAAAGAAAGAAAAAUACCUAAAUACUAUGAGAAAUCAAUCAGCAAUAGCUCAACAAAAUAG